AACGUAGGAGCCAAGCGUUAUCCGAAUUCACUGGGCGUAAAGCGCGUGCAGGCGGCCUUGUAAGUUGGAUGUGAAAGCUCCCGGCUCAACUGGGAGAGGACGUUCAAUACUGCGAGGCUAGAGGGCGAUAGAGGGAGGUGGAAUUCCCGGUGUAGUGGUGAAAUGCGUAGAUAUCGGGAGGAACACCAGUGGCGAAAGCGGCCUCCUGGGUCGCACCUGACGCUCAGACGCGAAAGCUAGGGGAGCGAACGGG
rnacentral:rRNA from 1 species